GCUAAGGUAGCAUAAUCAUUUGUUAUUUAAUUGGUAACUGGAAUGAAAGGUUAAAUUAACUUAUUAAGUUUGUGUAACUGGAUAGUAGAUUAAAGUUAAGGUAAGAAUUCUUUAAUUUUCUAGGGGACGAUAAGACCCUAGAAGCUUAACAAGCGUAGUGUUGGGUUUGUUUUAGAGGUUAGUUUGUUUUACUGGGGCGGUAAAAGCGAUUAAGCAGUUUAUUAUUUAAAGGAUCCUUUAAAUAAAGAGAGAAUGGAGAAGUUACUCUAGGGGUAACAGUGCAAUAUUUUUGGAUAGAUCUUAUUGAUAAAUAUGUUUGCAACCUCGAUG
rnacentral:rRNA from 2 species